rnacentral:ncRNA from 2 species
CUUGUAUCAAGAGGCAGUGAGAGAUUUGGCUCGAUGACCUGCCGACAACACUUGAGUCCGCAAAAGCGAGCUCGGACGUGUGCCAAUUCCAACCCGCUCGGGGAAGAUACUCA